rnacentral:rRNA from 1 species
GAUGAACGCUGGCGGCGUGCCUAAUACAUGCAAGUCGAGCGAACGGACGAGAAGCUUGCUUCUCUGAUGUUAGCGGCGGACGGGUGAGUAACACGUGGAUAACCUACCUAUAAGACUGGGAUAACUUCGGGAAACCGGAGCUAAUACCGGAUAAUAUUUUGAACCGCAUGGUUCAAAAGUGAAAGACGGUCUUGCUGUCACUUAUAGAUGGAUCCGCGCUGCAUUAGCUAGUUGGUAAGGUAACGGCUUACCAAGGCAACGAUGCAUAGCCGACCUGGGAGGGUGAUCGGCCACACUGGAACUGAGACACGGUCCAGACUCCUACGGGAGGCAGCAGUAGGGAAUCUUCCGCAAUGGGCGAAAGCCUGACGGAGCAACGCCGCGUGAGUGAUGAAGGUCUUCGGAUCGUAAAACUCUGUUAUUAGGGAAGAACAUAUGUGUAAGUAACUGUGCACAUCUUGACGGUACCUAAUCAGAAAGCCACGGCUAACUACGUGCCAGCAGCCGCGGUAAUACGUAGGUGGCAAGCGUUAUCCGGAAUUAUUGGGCGUAAAGCGCGCGUAGCGGUUUUUUAAGUCUGAUGUGAAAGCCCACGGCCCAACCGUGGAGGGUCAUUGGAAACUGGAAAACUUGAGUGCAGAAGAGGAAAGUGGAAUUCCAUGUGUAGCGGUGAAAUGCGCAGAGAUAUGGAGGAACACCAGUGGCGAAGGCGACUUUCUGGUCUGUAACUGACGCUGAUGUGCGAAAGCGUGGGGAUCAAACAGGAUUAGAUACCCUGGUAGUCCACGCCGUAAACGAUGAGUGCUAAGUGUUAGGGGGUUUCCGCCCCUUAGUGCUGCAGCUAACGCAUUAAGCACUCCGCCUGGGGAGUACGACCGCAAGGUUGAAACUCAAAGGAAUUGACGGGGACCCGCACGAGCGGUGGAGCAUGUGGUUUAAUUCGAAGCAACGCGAAGAACCUUACCAAAUCUUGACAUCCUUUGACAACUCUAGAGAUAGAGCCUUCCCCUUCGGGGGACAAAGUGACAGGUGGUGCAUGGUUGUCGUCAGCUCGUGUCGUGAGAUGUUGGGUUAAGUCCCGCAACGAGCGCAACCCUUAAGCUUAGUUGCCAUCAUUAAGUUGGGCACUCUAAGUUGACUGCCGGUGACAAACCGGAGGAAGGUGGGGAUGACGUCAAAUCAUCAUGCCCCUUAUGAUUUGGGCUACACACGUGCUACAAUGGACAAUACAAAGGGCAGCGAAACCGCGAGGUCAAGCAAAUCCCAUAUAGUUGUUCUCAGUUCGGAUUGUAGUCUGCAACUCGACUACAUGAAGCUGGAAUCGCUAGUAAUCGUAGAUCAGCAUGCUACGGUGAAUACGUUCCCGGGUCU